CCCUAGAUUGCAAUAAUGGAUCAUGUCGAUAUGCUACAGUGUCUUGUCUAAACGGCAUUCUGUAGUGCAUUUUCGGAACUGUCCUAUUCAUUCUAUCACUAUUAUAAUUACACCUUUCUGGUACUGGAGAUUCAAAGUAUCUAGGUUCACGCGGUUCGAAACUGACCCUUUUGUGUUGUGUUGGCUGUGUUUCAUAUUGAUUAUGAGUUCCAAAAAGCGAUGGACCUCUGCGUUUACUUUCUUGCGGGAAAUUACUUCUAGCCGGAAUCGCAUUAUCUCUCGAAAAACAAGGAGACGCUGAUUUUUGAGUCUGACUAAUAACGUUACAAAUUGCAUUUGUUUGUGACUCUAUCAUUCGCU
rnacentral:lncRNA from 1 species